rnacentral:rRNA from 1 species
ACCAGCAGCCAUAUCACCCUGCAGCCCAAGACUGGUUGCCCACUGAAGCUAAGCAGGGUUGAGCUGGUCAGUACCAGGAUGGGAGACCUCCUGGGAAAACUAGGUUGCUGCUGGAA